CAGUCGCCGCGGGAAUACGUAGGGUCCGAGCGUUGUCCGGAAUUAUUGGGCGUAAAGGGCUCGUAGGCGGUUUGUUGCGUCGGGAGUGAAAACCCAGGGCUUAACUUUGGGCUUGCUUUCGAUACGGGCAGACUUGAGGCAUUGAGGGGAGAACGGAAUUCCUGGUGUAGCGGUGGAAUGCGCAGAUAUCAGGAGGAACACCGGUGGCGAAGGCGGUUCUCUGGCAAUGUUCUGACGCUGAGGAGCGAAAGUGUGGGGAGCGAACAGGAUUAGAUACCCCUGUAGUCCCUGUCUCUUAUAC
rnacentral:rRNA from 1 species